GUCAGGCAUAGUGACACAUGCCUGUAAUCCCUAUGACUCAGGAGGCUGAGGCAGGAGGAUUGCAAGUUUGACAUGAGCCUCAGCAAUUUAGUGAGGCCUUCAGGAAUUUAGCAAGACCCUGUCUCAA
rnacentral:sRNA from 1 species